GCGCAAGAUGGAGAAGGACAUUUUGGGCCAAGGUCGUGUGGGGAGGACUUUUUAGCAGAGAUGCCCAGCUCGAGCCACAGAGGCCUGGCUGGCUUCACCGAAGGAGCUGGUGGAAAGAUCCAGUGACACCAUGAGGACUAGAACUGAUGGCUGUGCCUUGUGCUCCAAAUUGUUGCUAAAGGAGUCGAUUAUAGCUGCUCCUGCCACGGAGAGCAGAGGGAACCUUGGAACAAGGCUGAUAGUGAAUAACAGAGUCUGCUGAGGUGCUGAAGCUCUUCUGUCUGCAGAGUUGCCUUUCCUGACCUGUGAGGAAUCAAACUUUUACAAGGGAGCAUUUGAGUGUCCAGACAGGAGCUGCCUCCUACCACUACUCUCUGUCACCCUCCGGAGUCCUGUCCUCCCUCGGAGUUGCGAUGUCACUGCAGGUGUUGGAGCCCCUCCAGUACCAAGUCUGCAGUGUCUCUUACACAAAGACACAUC